CCUUGCAGAGUUAGGGAACAUUUUACUUGGAAAAAAAAGGUCUUCUCUUCCUGCAGAGAUCCACGGCUGUAUUCUCCUGCAGAGCCUGAGCCCUGCCUGGCAGAGUAGGCAAAAAUACAUCGUGCCUGAGCCUGAUUGCUAAGAGCUAUCUCAGCUAUUUCUCUGUGAAGAACUGCUGUACCCCAGUCUUGACUUCAUACCCAUCUGUGUGGCAUCUUUCAGGAUAUCCCAAUGGCUGGCUUCAUCUUCCUUCAAAAAUCCUCUGAUGCUUCACUUCAAAGACCCAUGUAGGUGACGGCUUCACUGACAGACUGAAGAAACAGAAAGAAGCAACCCACCUUGUGAGAGCUUCUGUGGAGGCUUCUGAUCUGGGAAGAAGUCAGAGAUGCAAAGGCUGAAAUUUUAUCUCUCUAUGCUUUUCCUCCUCUGUACAUCCUUUCCACGUUUUCCACGGUUUACUUCCAUCUCUGAUUUGACGGGUUUCUGUGAGGCCUUCUCUAAUUAGAACAGGUAAAAACAGCUCGGCUGAGCACAAGCUUAACUGUAUCACAGUGUGGUUUUUAACUUUAUGCAGUACGCUUUGCAUGGCAGUUUUAAUAGCAUGCCAAAUCUGCAUACGUAUAAAUUUAUAUGCAUCUGUUGCGAAGUGUGGGCCUCCUUAUACUGAAAAGCCAAUGCACAAGCAAGCGAUAUUGCCAAGGAGUUUUGUUGCAUUUCUGUAAUAACUAGAACUGUGGUUCAGACUCACAGUUCAGAGAUGCAUUUUUGGAAUACCUCUGCAUAUGUAUUUUAGUGCAUUUGAGCUCACUAGAGUAUUCAGCCUGGGCUCUAAGUACCAGAUGAAUCCCUGAGAUGAGUUGAGGAAUUUCUUAGGCAUGUUUUGAAUUCUUUAGCUUCCUGCUUCCUAUAUUUUUAUCCAUUUCCCUAUGCUCUGAACAUACAUUGAGAGGAUUUUUUUAAUCAGAAUGUGAGUGAACAUGAAACAUGAAUGUAGUAACCUAUUUUCAACUCUAUUUUCAGGAGUUGUUUUCUUUCGAGUUCACAAUGCAUACAGUAGCUAUAAAAAGACAUUAUAUUUUCAAGGUCUGUCAUAUUAUUUACAAUGUGUGAACAUAAAACCUCUCUGAUGUUUCCUGAUAAACAGUCAGACCCAGUAGCACAGCUGAACAACAGGCUCGGUACAUCAGGUGCAUAACCAGCUUCAGGUGGAGUAAGGAAGCCAAGGGUAUAGGAACAUGCUCUUUCUAGAGGACGAGGGUGUACUCAGAUCUCUGCAGUUUCAAAUGCUGGCGUAUGUGGGUUAACACAAACAUUUCUGGUAUGUUGUGGCCUAGCACUGCUACCUUCCAGGCAGUCAGUCAUCUAAGCAAAAUUUCCACAUGGGUGGCUGCUGAAAAACACAAUGCCCCUUACCCUAGGCUGAAUCCUAGUUUUGUUGAAGUCAAUGACAAAACGGUCUUUGACUUCAAUGGGGUCAGGACUGGUAAAGUCUGACUUCCAUUUGAGCUUGGGGUUGGAGAUAUCUUGCAGGAAAAUAAAUCUGACUUUCACUCAGGGGGUGGAAUCGCUCAGCGGAUUUGCAGAUCUUUCACCUCUAUGCCCAAAGAGGGCUUACUCUCUUCUGGACUCAGAUGUCUCUAUAGAAGAAAUUACUGCCUUCCUUCUGACUCCUUAAGUUGUUUUAAGGGUAAAUUAGCCAGCUUAGUUUAUACAACUGGAAAUUGUGGUUUCAGCUGGGAUAUUUGACCUGGAGUGAAUUAGGGAGUGCUCACACAAGCUGCAUAGCCUGCAGAACAUGGUAAAGUGAGAACCAGGAAGGAGGUGCAGGGCUGCUGUGAGUGUUAAACUCUUGGUCAGGAAAAUAAGAUAUAUAUAUGUGUGUGUGUGUGUGUAUAUAUGCCCAUGGUUUAGAUAAUCAGAAGAGUGCCACCACCUCAUUGCUCCUGCAUGUGGUGAACUUUGAUCUCUAGGUCUUAUAUUCAUGAUGGAAAAGCUUUUCCUUAUGUUCCUUUCCAGUUGGUCACCCAGUGAUAUCUUCUUGCACUGCGGCCUGUGCAACACAAAAGCUGUGUUGCUACAGCCACAUGAGACCAGCUUAACUGUAGCUUCUGUUUUCUGCUUGUCUUCAGUAAUGCUCCAGAAGGACAUGUCAAACAGCAACCUGAGAGGAAGCUUUCUCCAUUUACACUUAAGAGCCACCCUCAGGCCCAGUGGGUGCUCACAGAAAAACGGGUGUGCUUACAUGCAGACAAUGGAAACAGAAACAACACUUAAAAUGAGGUGUUUUCCACAUGUGAGUGCAUGGCCCCUGUGGGCAUA